UCCAGACUCCUACGGGAGGCAGCAGUGGGGAAUAUUGCACAAUGGGGGAAGCCCUGAUGCAGCGACGCCGCGUGAGUGAAGAAGUAUUUCGGUAUGUAAAGCUCUAUCAGCAGGGAAGAAAAUGACGGUACCUGACUAAGAAGCCCCGGCUAACUACGUGCCAGCAGCCGCGGUAAUACGUAGGGGGCAAGCGUUAUCCGGAUUUACUGGGUGUAAAGGGAGCGUAGACGGCAUGGCAAGUCAGAUGUGAAAGCCCGGGGCUCAACCCCGGGACUGCAUUUGAAACUGUCAGGCUGGAGUGCAGGAGAGGUAAGUGGAAUUCCUAGUGUAGCGGUGAAAUGCGUAGAUAUUAGGAGGAACACCAGUGGCGAAGGCGGCCUGCUGGACGACAACUGACGGUGAGGCGCGAAAGCGUGGGGAGCAAACAGGAUUAGAUACCCUUGUA
rnacentral:rRNA from 1 species